GUGGCAAAAGCGACGUUCAGCACAUCCUGUUGAUGUCUAUUCAUCCUGACAGCUAAAGUGGAGCCAAUAACGAUACUUGCAGCAGGCACAGAUUAUGGGCUUGCAUGUAAGCAUGUUAAAUUUACAAACAGCAAUCAGAAUAAAAGUCACCCCGACAGAAAGCAGAAUAGGCCCCAGUAACUGAGUCCAUUCCAGUUGGCAGGUAGGCAUGGAGUGAUCAACAGCUUCUCUUCAGCAUAGUAUAAAAAGAACCCUCUCUACGGCAAUUUAAGUGGAAAAGCAGAAAACUGAAUGAACUGUGUGUACAGUUAGGCCUUAACAGGCAUUGCAACCCUCAACACAAGUCAUCAGCCUCAAG